AUUGAACGCUGGCGGCAUGCUUUACACAUGCAAGUCGAACGAGUGGCGCACGGGUGAGUAAUACAUCGGAACGUGUACUAUCGUAGGGGAUAAGUGAUCGAAAGAUCAGCUAAUACCGCAUACGAUUGGAGUGGCCGAUGCCCGAUUAGCUAGUUGGUGAGGUAAAGGCUCACCAAGGGGACGAACGGUAGCUGGUCUGAGAGGACUACCAGCAAAACUGGGACUGGGACACUGCCCAGACUCCGACGGGAGGCAGCAGGGGGGGAUUUUGGGCAAUGGGGGCAAACCUGAUCCAGCCAUGCCGGGUGAGGGAUGACGGCCUUCGGGUUGUAAAGCUCUGUUAAUCGGGACGCGGUACCUGAAUAGAAAGCCACGGCUAACUACGUGCCAGCAGCCGCGGUAAUUC
rnacentral:rRNA from 1 species